rnacentral:misc_RNA from 1 species
GCUGGCAUGGCUAACACUCGCCAUACUAAGCAGCUAAAAGCUGUCUAUUUUCAUUCACAAUCACUUUAUCUCAAGAGUCGUCAUCUUGAGACUAUUGCAGCUGUUACUGGUGCAGGAUGUAUGAUCAGUUACUGUGAUAACAGAGUUUGUGUCCCCAAGAAUGAGAGGGAAUGCAGGCUUGUUGAACAACUAUCUUCCCCAACGUAUGAUGAUUUUGCACAUGAACGUAAAGGGUUCCCCGUAACGUCAAUCCCGAGCUAAUAUUGCUCCAUAUUGCGGGGUUGUUCUCUGAAGUCCAGGAAACAUGUCCCUUCAGAGCACCUGCUUUCUCCGAGGAGCUAUCGUUUAAAUUUGAUUUUGGUUUUUUCAUUAUCAGUAGCAAGACAGGAGCAGGGAAUGUCUAUAAAUAGAGCACAAGUGAAUGCAGCCAAUCAACAGCCAAAUCUUCAUAAUCAACAAUUUCCUUUACUCGGGAAUAAUAACUACAGAUACCAACAAUUAAAAUUCAAUUCCAUAUCUUUGGUGCAUCAAACAUGGUAAAGAAAUUGGAUUCAAUACAAGAAAGGGAUAACAG